GCCUGUGUAGCUCAGUGGCAGAGCACUGGUCUUGUAAGCCAGGGGUCGUGAGUUCAAGUUCAAUCCUCACAGGAGGCG